CAGUGCUGAAGAAGCAUUGGAGCAUCCGUGGCUUGAUCAAGGUCCGGCUUUUGGAAAAGCUUUGUCCAUGUUUUGAGCCACGACGGAGUUGUGGCGAGCGAAUUUUCACGGUCAAAGCAUGGCACGGCUGUUGCGAGGAUUCCAAGGUCACGAUGCGGUUGGGUUCCGGGGU
rnacentral:SRP_RNA from 1 species